UCCCUGGUAGCUCAGAUGGUAAAGCUUCUGCCUACGAUGCAGGAGACCCAGGUUCGAUCCCUGGGUUGGGAA
rnacentral:tRNA from 1 species